CUGUGGCUCUUCUACCACAAGGUCGUCGGCGUCGCACACUUUUUGCUCUUUGUCGAGGGCAAGGCCGCCAAGCCCAGUGUCGCCGGGGUCCUCGAGUCCAUCCCCGUGCAUUCCUCGCUUGAGAUUUCCAAGAAUCCAGUAGUACCAAUUUCACUCAGCUUGUUCUCAAUCUCUGACUCUGUUUCUCUUCUUCUUCUUUAGGGGGUGAAGGUGGGGUACAGGACCAAGGAGCUUGAGGAGCAGCAGGCCAGCCGAAUCUGGAAUGAAACCUGGCUCGCAGGAUUCUUCUACAAGCCUUGCAACCACGAAUUGUUUGUGAAGCAAUCACUCAACAUGGAGAUGGCCAUUGUGAUGGCCCGGGAAUCUGGCAUGGAUUGGAUAAUAAUCCAUCUAGACACCAAUGAGUUGCUAUAUCCCGGUGGAGCUCCCGAGUAUUCCAUCAGACGCCUGCUAGCUGACGUCCCCGAUGAUGUUGACAUGGUUAUUUUUCCUAACUAUGCUGGGUGAGAAGGAAACAAGGGUCACGGUGAACUAUUGCUAGCUUGAGGAGAUGCUCACAUGAAGACAUGGUUGCCGGAGCAGUUUCUACCUUUUCAAGUUGAUUGUUGGUGUAUGAGCCAAGACUGAAGAUAUACAAGCUUAUGCAACGAGGCGCUCGCGGUUGUGUGGUGAGUGCACUUCACCUUCAUGUGCAAGGGUGGUUCAUCCACCCGCCUCCAUCUAUGAAUGAAGUGCCUCAAGAAAAACUAGGAGGUUGAGAAGCUGAUAGGUAGAAUAGUGAAAUGGUUGAAGCCCGGUGGCCAUAUUUUCAUUAAGUAAUCGUGUUUCCACCAAUUUGGAGGUUCCAAGAAGAAAGUAAAGCCUACACACUACCAAGAGCCAAGCUUUUAUAGCAAGGUUAUUAGUCCAACUCUUCACUAUUUUUCUCUUUGUACUUCUAUUUUGUACUAAGAGUGAAAGUUGUCUGUCUUGCUACUACUUUGUACCAUCUGUAGGGCUAUUACUUUAACCGAAACCAGAUUUACUGGUUGUGGCACUGUAUCCUUUAGUUCGAUGCACCUAGAUACUCUUGCAUAGAAUCUUGUGUCCAAAUCAUUUAUAUGUUGGCUAUGCAAGAAGGUCGGGCGGCCAAUAUAAGACAAAGGCCUAUAGAGAUUCUUGGAAAAUGUGUAGUGCAAAUUCAAUUACACAAACCACAAGUGUCCUCCUGCUCAAUAAUAAUAAUUAAUAAGUAUCCAAUCUGUAAUAAUACCAUUAAAAUCAGAAUCGGAGCAUUUAGCCUUGAACACUACUUGGGAAUAUGUAUGUUCUUCCUUAUACAAUGCAAUUAAUUUCACCAUAUGGCUUGAUAACUAGACCAUUUUACCAUUAAUCUUGACCUCCUUUCUAUUGUUGUAAUGGCCUUCAGAUUAUCUUAUUAGCAUGGUAUUGUUUUUACCAACCAAUGCGGAUAGGAGGGCUGUUGAACUUUAGACUGCAACACAGUCGCACAGGAUGAACCGGUCAAGAGUUUACACCAUGUCUUGCAAGGCCUGUCUAAUGACUUAUUUGUGUCGCAAGAGAAAAUAUCAUUUGUGACUAGCAUCGAUGGACCUUCUUAAUAUAUCAAACAACCACAUGUUGUUCUCAAGCUUUAUGCCGACGGAACCUUGUAAGCUUUAGUGCACAUGAUAUUUUUGUGAAGCUUCCUUAUCAUAUCCAUUUGAAAUGUAUGUUAGGAAACAAACACAUUGUUAGUGGGACAUGACAUGGCAUACAUUGAAUUAAAUGGGCAGGGAGAAGGUAGUGCCAAGAUGAGGGCUCUAGCGUGUGACUUAUAGGCUUCACCUGUGGAUGUUUUGGAAUGACAAUGACACAGCUUUUAAUCAUUAGUAUCCUGUUUGUUAAAGAUGCAGAUUGAAAGGAAGGAUAAUUUUAAUCAUUAGUAUCUCCAUGGGUUCAUUAUCUUCAUAUUCAUAACUUUAGAUGACCAAUUUCUUUCUUUAACCAGUAAGGAUGAUUGAUUAUUGCCAAUAUCUUUUAUUUCCAUAUACAUCACCUAUCACUGUAUUAUGAUGAUCUGAGACAUAAUGGGGUACACAUAUUCUUAUGAUUCAUCUAGCAGUAUGUGAUUUCUUGACAUUUUCCCAGCAAUUUCACUUUGGUUUUCUUCUUUGCUUUUAGGUAUUUGUGUGAUUGAUUAGAACUACAUACAUAAAAGAUGCAAGGACACAAUAUGAUUUGGCAUUUUCAGUGCUAGCACAUGGAGCAGCAAGAGGGAGGAGAGGAGCUACCACGGUGGCCAGGUAACUCGAGGAUGGAGGGGAAUUCGCAUAGAAUAAGCCUGCACUCUUCGAGAAAAUACAUAGGAUAAUUAUGAAAUAAGGUACUGAAAAAAAACAAGAAAAUAUAGGUGACCAAAUACUUGAGGGGUUGCAACUCUGCAAGACUGAAAUUAACGAAAAGGUAAGCCUUUCCUUUAUUAGAUGAACAAACAGCUAAGCCAGCUGAGGAGCGAUCUCCAACAGCUUCCCGGUCGCCAGUGGUCAAAGAUUGUCUGCUGAAAGACGAACAAGUGAUCAUGUUCUAUCAUUGUUGAAAGCAGUAGUGAAUGUUGAUGUAUGUAUAUUUUUCAUUCAGUGUAUUGGAAGUGCAAGUUGGUAUUUUUCAUUAGCGUGGUUUUUAUAUAUUUUUCAUCAAGUCGUACAAUUUUUUUCUUUGGAUAGAAAGGUAAAUGCAUAUGUAGGUUGAUUCAAGAGUUAAUAAUGGACAUCAUGGCGUAUCAGUUGCAUGGACAUCAUAUUUUUAUUUUGUGGUAAUGCAUGACAUUUUGUUACAACGUGACAAUGACUCGAAAGACAUCAGAUAUGCCUUCUUGGCUCGGAGGGUGUCACGGGCGGCGCACGCCUCCUCGCCUAAUAACGGUGGCCGGGGACUCCACCUUGGUGGUCCGUGGUGGAAGUACAGUGUGAAGAAUAGAGGGUGCCAUGACGAAGGUGAGCCGGGUGUCAUCUGGUUCGGACUUCCACAUUUCUCACCCACAUAUGGGCUGGAUUUAGGGGAGCCCGGACCAUCUAGAUGCUUGGAUUUUGGGGUGCCUGCUAGGUACCCAUUUGAUGUCUGAACAUGCUCGAACGUACGAGAGACAAAUGAACUUCAAACUUGGAGGCGACAUUAAUUAUUUGUUUGAUGUGUCAUUGUUAGAGUGAUGUAAUGGUAAAGUAUGUAUACAACGACACAUAUGUGCAUGGAGCUUGUAAAAAUUAUAUAUUAGACACGAUCGGUGUUGAACCGUCAAAAUAUGUGUGCUCCCGUUGUGACGCAC